rnacentral:rRNA from 1 species
UCCCAGACUCCUACGGGAGGCAGCAGUGAGGAAUAUUGGUCAAUGGCCGGAAGGCUGAACCAGCCAAGUCGCGUGAGGGAAUAAGGCCCUAUGGGUCGUAAACCUCUUUUGUCGGGGAGCAAAGCGAACCACGUGUGGUUCAUUGAGAGUACCCGAAGAAAAAGCAUCGGCUAACUCCGUGCCAGCAGCCGCGGUAAUACGGAGGAUGCGAGCGUUAUCCGGAUUUAUUGGGUUUAAAGGGUGCGCAGGCGGAGGUGCAAGUCAGCGGUCAAAUUGCGGGGCUCAACCCCGUACUGCCGUUGGAACUGGGUGCCUUGAGUGGGCGAGAAGUAUGCGGAAUGCGUGGUGUAGCGGUGAAAUGCAUAGAUAUCACGCAGAACCCCGAUUGCGAAGGCAGCAUACCGGCGCCCUACUGACGCUGAAGCACGAAAGCGUGGGUAUCGAACAGGAUUAGAUACCCGGGUAA